AUGGAGGGCAAGGAGGAGGACGUGCGGCUCGGAGCGAACAAGUACUCGGAGCGGCAGCCCAUCGGCACGGCGGCGCAGGGGUCCGAGGACAAGGACUACAAGGAGCCCCCGCCGGCGCCGCUGUUCGAGCCCGGCGAGCUCAAGUCCUGGUCCUUCUACCGCGCCGGCAUCGCCGAGUUCAUGGCCACCUUCCUCUUCCUCUACGUCACCAUCCUCACCGUGAUGGGCUACAGCGGCGCCACCUCCAAGUGCGCCACCGUCGGCAUCCAGGGCAUCGCCUGGUCCUUCGGCGGCAUGAUCUUCGCCCUCGUCUACUGCACCGCCGGCAUCUCCGGCGGGCACAUCAACCCGGCGGUGACCUUCGGGCUGUUCCUGGCGAGGAAGCUGUCGCUGACCAGGGCGGUGUUCUACAUCAUCAUGCAGUGCCUGGGCGCCAUCUGCGGCGCCGGCGUGGUGAAGGGGUUCCAGCAGGGCCUGUACAUGGGCAACGGCGGCGGCGCCAACGUGGUGGCGCCCGGCUACACCAAGGGCUCCGGCCUCGGCGCCGAGAUCAUCGGCACCUUUGUCCUCGUCUACACCGUCUUCUCCGCCACCGACGCCAAGAGGAACGCCAGGGACUCCCACGUUCCCAUCCUCGCCCCGCUGCCCAUCGGGUUCGCCGUGUUCCUGGUCCACCUGGCCACCAUCCCCAUCACCGGCACCGGCAUCAACCCGGCGAGGAGCCUCGGCGCGGCCAUCAUCUACAACAGGGAGCACGCCUGGUCAGACCACUGGAUCUUCUGGGUCGGCCCCUUCAUCGGCGCCGCGCUGGCCGCCGUGUACCACCAGGUGGUCAUCAGAGCGAUCCCGUUCAAGACCAAGUCCUAA
rnacentral:rRNA from 1 species